rnacentral:rRNA from 1 species
CGAAAGCCNNGAUCCAGCAAUGCCGCGUGAGUGAUGAAGGCCUUAGGGUUGUAAAGCUCUUUUACCCGGGAUGAUAAUGACAGUACCGGGAGAAUAAGCUCCNGCUAACUCCGUGCCAGCAGCCGCGGUAAUACGGAGGGAGCUAGCGUUGUUCAGGAAUUACUGGGCGUAAAGCGCACGUAGGCGGCUUUGUAAGUUAGAGGUGAAAGCCUGGAGCUCAACUCCAGAACUGCCUUUAAGACUGCAUCGCUUGAAUCCAGGAGAGGUGAGUGGAAUUCCGAGUGUAGAGGUGAAAUUCGUAGAUAUUCGGAAGAACACCAGUGGCGAAGGCGGCUCACUGGGACUGGGUAUUGACGCUGAGGUGCGAAAAGCGUGGGGAGCAAACAGGAUUUAGAUACCCUUGGUAGUCCACGCCCGUUAAACGAUGAAUAACCUAGCCUGUCCCGGGGGACUUGGGUCUUUUGGGUGGCCGCAGCCUAAACGCAAUUUAAGUUUAUCCCCCCCUUGGGGGAAGUUACGGCCGCAAGGUUAAAACUCAAAUGAAUUGACGGGGGCCUGCACAAGCGGUGGAGCAUGUGGUUUAAUUCGAAGCAACGCGCAGAACCUUACCAGCGUUUGACAUGUCCGGACGAUUUCCAGAGAUGGAUCUCUUCCCUUCGGGGACUGGAACACAGGUGCUGCAUGGCUGUCGUCAGCUCGUGUCGUGAAAUGUUGGGUAAAUCCCGCAACGAGCGCAACCCUCGCCUUUAGUACCAUCAUUUAGUUGGGGACUCUAAAGGAACCGCCGGUGAUAAGCCGGAGGAAGGUGGGGAUGACGUCAAGUCCUCAUGGCCCUUACGCGCUGGGCUACACACGUGCUACAAUGGCGGUGACAGUGGGCAGCAAACUCGCGAGAGUGCGCUAAUCUCCAAAAGCCGUCUCAGUUCGGAUUGUUCUCUGCAACUCGAGAGCAUGAAGGCGGAAUCGCUAGUAAUUCGCGGAUCAGCAUGCCGCGGGAAU